rnacentral:rRNA from 1 species
AUGUUUAGCAAGGAGGGUGAGAUGGCCACCGCAGAGAGUUCGAAGGGAAGGACUGGCGGGUCCAUGUUUAGCAAGGAGGGUGAGAUGGCCACCGCAGGGAGUUCGAAGGGGUGGGAGUACGAGUUUCGCGGGGUUACGAUCGCCACCAUAGAGAGUUCGAAGGAAAGGCCUGGCGGGCUUAGCAAGGAGUUCCAUCAGGCUGGGCUCUGUUUGCAGAAUAGUAUUCGAGAGAUCGAGGCCAAGAUUUCGAAGAUUGGACAUUGCGACCAAGGUGAAGGGAAGAACUUCGAUUAUCUUCACGUGUUCAGAUCGGAUAUGCUCGUCUUGUUGGCCAAGAUCUUCCGUUUGGCCUAUGAGGAGGGCCAGCAGACCGCCGGUUGGAUCGGCAAUAAAGAAGAAUCGAUGGAGACCGAGAGCAAGAUUGGCGACUGCAGAGAGAUAGAAACUCUAGGGAAGUCGUCGAAGGGAUGCAGAAGUGCCGGAUAUCUAGAACUCGAGAAUCUGCUCCAUCGUGCCAGAAUCCAAAUCGCUGAACAGAUAGGCAGAGGCUUUCAAUGCAGGGGGCUGCAUGAUCUGGUUGCAAAGGAGACCCAGGGGCACGUUGUUGGCCAGGCACACAGCCAACUCCCCUGGGAUACCGUGCCAGAUGUGACAACUGAGAUCCUGUUAAAAUUUGAGAAAGUGGUCGGUGACAUUGACAAGCUAUUUCAAGCAGAAAAGAUCCGGAAGGAGGCAAUGGCAGUGCUGAGGUUCGGCUUCAGACUGCACUUGUUCUCCGAGCAGAUUGUGGAGCUGCGGCACGAGAUGUCCAAAAUGCUGCAAUCGUUCUCAUCAGUAAACAAAGAUAUAAGGAGCACAUUGCUUAAGUUUAUUUCUGAGCCAUACUUAGGCCGUAUCUGCAAAUUGCAACGGAUCUCUGAGCGUCUUAGUAUGCUCCAGCGAAUGUACCCAGAUUUUAACACGAAAUUGAAAUCAACAAUCAUCAAGCUGAAAUCAGAAUCAUUCUCCUCAGCAAUGGAGGAGUUGAAGCAGGAGGAGGAGAGCGGCAGGGAAGGAGUGGCCGCAGAAGGCCAUGGAGACCAAAAAGUUUCCAUGGAGAUGGAGGGGAAGAGAUUCGCUUCCUAUCGUCGCUGCUGGGAAUGUAUAUGGGGCAACGACCGCAACUUCGAAGACCAGACAUUAUUGAGCCCCAUGCUCUUUACACAUUGCACAACCCGCAUCCCAAGUGAAGCUGUCGCAGGGAGUACCUUGCAGAUCUACUCCAUCAAAAUCUCAACAGCAAAAGAACUCACAUUGCCACUGGAGGUGUACGGAGUGGUUGCAGUCCGAGAUGCUGUGGACCGUCAUCGCAAUCCUCUAUUCCUUCGUUCAAGAAUACAUUGCCAAGUCCUCGAAAAAAAUGAUUCUUUUUUGAGCUUGACUGGCCCGGCUCGUGCAAUUGUGUCAAUGGACACUGUUUACAUCGAAAUCCAACUAAAAGUAAAGGGCGCGACAGAACCUGAAGAUACAUCAUUGAUCAGUACAUUUGGCUUUUACAAUGGUGAUAGUUCUGGUAGCUAUCUCGCCAAAAACAGUUUGUGCACAGUGGAGUUAUGCUAUGAGCAACUUAAACAGUCGGUCCAAGCCACUAUUGUGGGUGUGUUUGUUACACCCAAACAGGAAUCAUUGCCUUUUCCAUAUGGCGGCCGAGUGAUUUGCUCCUCACUGCCUCAGGAUGGUAAUGAAGACAUCGAUGGGCUCCCACCUAGGGAAGUCUUGCUGCUUGAUUCGAAAGGUGAAGGAAUGUCUCUGACUAGUAAUGGUUACCUUAGUCUGGCAAGACGUGUAGUUUCUGUGGAGUUAAAAGGAAAGCUGCAAGUCCUCAUAAUGGCUGAAUCAUCAUCACAAAAUGCUGAGAUUGCUGCUCAAUUCUUCUUCACACCCGAAAAAUACGACACAAGUAAAUGUGACUGUUCCCUCCCUGAUGGCUCUAAGGUUGAGAUUACUGUUGCUUGGUCCCUUGUUCCCUCGACGAUGCUACAGUCAGGUGACAGUCAUGAGGACAGUGGGAUGGUGACCGCAAGAUAUUCGAAGGGAAGGAGUGGCGGGUGCUUGUUAGGUGACUCGCUAUGCAUGGCUACAUUCUCAAUGCAGCAGAGUGUCAGUUGGGUCCAGGCCCGGGAGGAUAAGAUUUUGGAGAUUGGACUUCGCGAAUCCGCGGAACACUCGAAUCUUCUGAAGUUGAAAUUUGAUAUGUUGGAGUUGUUGGAAAAUAUCUUCGCUCGGGCCGAGUAUGAUACCCAUAGCAAAAUUUGCGAUGACGGUGACGUUCGGCCCGAGUAUGAGACCCAUAUAAAAAUUUGCAAUGACGGUGAGAUGGAAACUGGAGGGAAGCCUUCGAAGGGAAGGAGUGGCGAUGUUGAAUUGUUGAGGAUUGGCAAUGAAGGCAGAAUGUUGCAGACCCCGAGCAAGAUUGGUGACGGUGGCAAAUUGGUGUCCAAGCAUUUCAAGGAGCAGAUGGUCAGGUUCUCAAUGUCUGUAGCCAGAUCUGUCAGAAACGUGCUUGAGGAGGAGGCAGAGGCAGAGACCGAGACUUCGGGGGUGGUGCCGAUGGUCGGCUUCAAAUUAGGUUUGCUCUCCAGGCAGUUUGAUGAGCUGUGGGACGACAUGCGCCAGCUUGUCUCAAUAGAAGCAAAAUUUCUAGCAAUAUGCAUGCUUAUUCAUGAGCCCUUCGCACGCUAUUGCUCCACAUUGAAGUUUAUCUCUGCAGUUUUCAACCGGCUUUGUCGAUGGGUGCCAGAUUUGACAACGGCAAUGGGAUCGAUAAGGGAGCAUGAGGAGAUAGAGGAUGGGGAUAAGGUUGGGAAGUUUGUGAAUGAGUAUGAAGAGGAGAAGAAGGCUGAGCAGUUCUAUUUCAGUGCCCAUCGUGAAAACUGGGAAUUUAGUCGCAGCAACUUUGGCAGCUUCGAAGACACAACGGUAUUGAGCUCCAUGCUCUUUACCCACUACAUACCAGGCCACACCCAAUUGGGUGCUGAUGUUGGGAGGACCAUGCAGGUCUACUCUAUUAAAGUUGUAGAAACCGCAGAAACAGAAGGCUAUGCCCUUGAGUGGCCACUGAAGGUAUACGGUGUAGUCGCUGCACGAGAUGUUGUGGACUAUCGUCGCAACAUUCUCUUCCUUCGCACUAGGGAUGACUGCCAAAUCCUGACAAAACAGGAUCCUUUUCUGCACUUGACUGGCCCGUCUCGUGCAAUUAUUUCGGGGGACAUACUGGACAACACUCUUAUAAUUGAAGUACACCUAAGACUAAAGGACACGGUGGAGUCUGAAGAUAGAACAUUGAUCAGUAAAGCCUUUGUUUAUGAUGAAGAUGAUCUUGGCAGUGGUGAUAGUAUUUCUGAGCAUCUCCUCCAGGGCCUUUGUUCAAUAGAGUUACGCUAUGAGCAUAUUGAACAAUCACUUCAAGCCACUAUUCUCGGUAUCCGUGUUAUACAGGGCCCAUUGUGUUGUGGCAAUGGCAUCAAAGUCUUUUGCUCAGCACUACCUAAAGAUAAAACUCAAGACGGUGUUAAGUGCCCAUUCGAGUGUGUUUUGCUGCUUGGUUCACAAACUGGAACUGUGCCUGUGGGUGGCUAUCUAGAUCUGUCAAGGCAGGUUGUAUCAGUAAAAUUAAGAGGGGAGCUGAAAAUUCUCAUACAGGCUGAGGAAAUCAGCGGAAGUGUUGUCUUCAAAGCUGAAGACAGCAACAUAAGUCGAGAAAGGUGCCGGCUUGGUGAUUGUGAGGUCGAGAUAACCAUUGCUUGGUCCCUCCUUGUUGAAAGCCAGCAUGAUCUCUCGGUGAAGGGAUAUAUAGCGCCUUACGCAGAAGAAUUAAUUUCACCUAUGCCUAUCAUGAAGCUUUAUAGAAGUCGCUCGUUAAAGAUGAUCUGGCUCCGCGUUAUUUCUCUGGGUAGAUUCGUUCCUCGUUUGGAAGUUGGGGUUGUCUUGAGAGAUGGAGUUGGCGACGCGCGCUCGACUGAUGAUGGGACCAGUGGAACUGCUGGUGUCCAAGAUGGCUUGAUUUCCUCUGAGCCAGUGCGCAUGGAUGGGUACCCCCUAGAAGACGAAUCAGUUGAGCAGACGGAAGAAACAUUUGUCACCGACAGGAAUUGCAGCUCGUACAAUGGUCGUGGCGAAGGGGUGGGCGAUUCAUGUGAGCUAGGCGCUGCAAAUUUUAGAGAGGAGGAUGGCGUGGUCGUGUUAAAGUCAAACAGAUCUUAUUGGACCAGGAGGAUCAGAAUUGGCGAGGCGGCAGAUGAGAGGGAGCAGAGUUCAAGCAAAGUGCCUGCCCUGGGGACUUCAGUUCGUGCUUAUGUCGACAACAAGACUGAAAAUGCUAUUAAUUCAGCAAUUGGCACUAGCUUCGAUUCUGUCGAGGAGGGCUACGAAUUUUACAAUCUCUACUCGUGGGAAGUUGGUUUUGGUGCCCGUUACACAAAAAGCCGUUUGAAUGUACACCGGAAGAAGUGCACGCGCAGGAGAUAG